GGGGGGGGGGGAGGGGGGCUGCCUUCGGGAACAAUGGCAACCGCGGAAGGGCCCCCUCCCUCCCCCCCGCCUCCCCGGCACUGCAGUGGCGCCGCCGGGCCUUUGUUCCAGCCCCCUUGCGAGACCCCCUCCCCGACCUCCGGAGGGCACCUUGGGCGCCCCCCCUUCCUCCCCCCCAAAUAGACCUGUGAUGCGGGCGGGGGGGAGGGGAGGGAGGGAGGGAGGGGUGAGAUCCCCCACAAAGGCGCCCCUUCCCUCGGCCCCGAGCGGCACUGCGCUGCUGCGGCGGAGGAGGAGGAGGAGGAGGACAAAGCCCGGCCAAGGACAGGCCGCCCAGCAGACCCCGGAAGCCCCCUCCCCUCCCCUCCCUCUCCCCCCGCAGCCCUUGAGAAGGUCAAAGCCCCCCUCCGCCCCUCUCCCCGUGGCCCCUGGGUGCCCUUCUGCGCGCCUCCCGGGAAAGGCCUCGGGGGGGGGGUGUCGUGGGGGUCCUGCCCCCCCUCCCGCCCAGCGCUGCCCCUCCAUUUGGGGCUGGAAGGGGGGGGGUGCGGGGGAGAGGGCCCCCCUGAGCUGCCCGCCUGGGACUCUGCCCCCGACCCCCCUGCCUGCCCCCCCCAUCUGCCCAUCUGCCGCCGCCUGGAUGAACGGCCUUGCGCUUGCAUCCACCCCGACCGUCCCCUUUCUAGGUCAGCCCGGCGAGUGCGGGGGCCCUUGAUGCCUCUGGCGCACCCCCGGCCCACAGCGGAGGGCACGUGGGGUGGGGGUGGGGUGGGGGAGGGGAGGCAGGGCUGGGCUCACCCUCCUGCUCCCUCGGCAGAGCUGCACCCCCCCCCCCCCUUGGGCUCCUCUCUUCGAAGAAGACCCCCCUGGACAAUCGGCUUCUCAGAUGAGCCAUUCCAAAAUAAAGGGGAUUGACUGUUGCCUGUCAUUUUCUGUCAAGCUCUGAUCUUUCAAGGCAGGGACAUAAUGGGGGGGGGGGGGCGUGCAGCAGUGGCCCUGUGUUGUGCUGGGGAGGGGGGGGCCAAGGGCUUCUUCCCUCCCUCCCUCCGGGCCUGUCCCUGGAAGGCCAAGCGCCCCUCCCAAGAGCCCCUUCCUUAAAGGCGCAUUCAAGCCCCCAUCCAGCCCCCCUGUGGCUCCCUCCCAUGGGAACUCUCCCUCCCCCUCCCCAGUUGCGCUUCCCCUGCAACUGGGCCCUUUUAUGCAAAGACUGCUUACAAAACACUCCUCUCUCUGCUGCCAGGAUGAGUUGCCCGUGGGAGGCCUUCGUGGAAAAGCCCCUUUUCUUACCGCAGGUUGCCCGGCUCCUUCCUCCCUCCUUCCAUCCUUCCAUCCAUCCAUCCAUCCUUUCUUCCUUCCUUCCUUCCUUCUUUCCCUCCUUCCUUCCAUCCAUCCUUUCUUCCUUCCUUCUUACCUUCCUUUCUUCCUUCUUUCCUUCCUUCCUUUCUUCCUUCCUUCUUACCUUCCUUCCUUCUUUCCCUCCUUCCUUCCUUCCUUCCUUCCUUUCCGUCCUUCCUUCCUUCCUUCCUUCCUUCUUUCCCUCCUUCCUUUUUUCUUCCUUCUUACCUUCCUUCCCUCCCUCCCUCCCUCCCUUCCUUCCUUCCUUCCUUCCUUCCUUCUUUCCCUCCUUCCUUCUUUCCUCCCUUCCUUCCUUCUUUCCCUCCUUCCUUCUUACCUUCCUUCCUUCCUUCCUUCCUUCCUUCUUUCCCUCCUUCCUUCCUUCCUUCCUUCUUUCCUUCCUUCGUUCCUUCCUUCCUUCUUUCCUUCCUUCCUUCCUUCCUUCCUUCCUUCCUUCCUUCCUUCUUACCUUCCUUCCUUCCUUCCCUCCCUCCCUCCCUCCCUCCCUCCCUCCCUCCCUCCCUCCCUCCCUCCCUCCUUCCUUCCUUCCUUCCUUCUUUUCCUCCUUCCUUCCAUCCAUCCUUUCUUCCUUCCUGCUUACCUUCCUUUCUUCCUUCUUUCCUUCCUUCCUUCCCUCCCUCCCUCCUUCCUUCUUUCCCUCCUUUCUUUUUUUCCUUCCUUCUUUCCCUCCUUCCUUUUUCCUUCCUUCUUUCCUUCCUUCCUUCCUUCCUUCCUUCCUUCCUUCCUUCCUUCUUUCCCUCCUUCCUUCUUUCCUUCCUUCCUUCCUUCCUUCCUUCCUUCCUUCUUUCCCUCCUUCCUUCUUUCCUUCCUUCCUUCCUUCUUUCCCUCCUUCUUUUUUCCUUCCUUCUUACCUUCCUUCCUUCCUUCCUUCCCUCCCUCCUUCCUUCUUUCCUUCUUUCCUUCUUUCCUUCUUUCCUUCUUUCCUUCUUUCCUUCUUUCCUUCCUUCCUUCCUUCCUUCUUUCCCUCCUUCCUUCUUACCUUCCUUUCUUCCUUCCUUCCUUCCUGGGACGCAGGGGCACAGGGAGGCCAAAAGUAGCCGUCCACUUCCCUUUGCCCAGCUUGGCCUUUCAAGGCAGGGAGACGGGGCUUUUGUGUCUCUGCUGGGGGUUGGCCUUCAGGUGGCCCCACUGCCUUCGCCCCUGCCUAGUCCUUGUCUCUGGGGCUGUUUCUCUGUCCGUCUCUCUUGCUUUCUUGAUAAGGAGCAGGAGGACUGGCGGCCUUGCAGGGCCAUGAGCAGAAAGCAGUGUGUUUGCAGCCUGAGCCUGGCAAAGUCAGGGCCCUGUUUGCUUGUGUGUGUCGGGGGAUUCUUCUGCCUUGUUGCGUGUGUUUCUGGGCAGGGAGGGGACCCCUCACAGUCUUCUUCUGAAGCUUGAGGCCACUACAUCUGCCCCUAGCCCCAUUUCGUAGGUGGGGAGCUGAGGCAGAGAGAGAGGGCUCUUUGUGAGGCUGGGGGCCUGGGUCUCGGGGGGAGGCACAAGGGGCGUCUGGACUCCCCCUUCCCCACUGCCCGCACAGCACUUGCGAGGCAGAGAGCGCCAGGCCUGUGAGCGGAAUAUGGAUGUGAGCCCUGAAUGGCGCCUCAGGCCCCAGCCAAGGGGUUUGGGCUCUGCAGCCAACAGCGUGCCCUUCCCAGCGCAGGGCACCCAGGCAUCCAUUCAGGCAAUGUGGAUAGCAACUCCCAUCACCCCGGACAGUCAGGGAGGCUGAGUUGCGCAGGGGUCAAGCCCACUGGCUGGCCUUCCUUAUGGGGCUUCUCUCCUUGUUGGAGGGAGAGUCAGUCAGCUGUGGGGAAGAGAUGGGUCUGCUUGAAGCUGUACUCGGAAGUAUUGGGAGGGGUGGUGCCAGGGUCAGGAGGGAACCGUCCCCUUGGGGUUCCAGGGCAGCAGCUUGGCAUGCAGGCUAGAAAGGCCCCCUUGUUUGGGACCCCCACUCCUGCCUCCCCUGGCACCCUGGGCCUUGCAGUGCCAAAGGAGGGGAGCUGGACCUGCAGCCCAAUGGGAUGUGCCCCCCCUUCCAUGCGCCCCCCUCCCGCCUUGGGCCCUUCCCACCUGUCCAGUGGCUGCUGGAGGGGGCUGGGGAGGGUCUCUCGGGGGCAUCGGUCGGGCACCAGGACCCGGGAUCGGUCAGUCAGUCAGAUGCAGGGAGGGAGGGAGGGAGGCUGGAGGCGAGGGCUGCUUGGCAUGCAGCUCACUCCUUGCCUCUCGCCUUCCAUUCAGAAAAUAAUAAGACCCUCUCGGCACGGAUUGGCACCGCGCGCUGCGGGGCGGGGAGGGGCUUUGCCUCGAAGGUCACCUGCUCCUCCUCCUCCUCAGGAAGAAGGUUCUGGUGCCGCCUGAGCUGCCCCCAUGGAGCAGCACCUGCCCCCCUCCCUCUGCUCCUAGGACUGGCCUCCCUGCUGCCUGAGUGUCCAGAGCCCAGGAGGUCCAAGCGGAGAACGUGACGGUGGCGGAGGGCGGCCAGGCCGAGAUCAACUGCAGGCUCCACCAGUACGACGGCUCCAUCGUGGUGAUCCAGAACCCCUCCCGGCAGACGCUCUUC